rnacentral:rRNA from 1 species
GCAUAACGCGAAGAACCUUACCAAGGCUUGACAUGCAUCUCUAAGCGCGUGAAAGCGCGUGACUCUUCGGAGGAUUUGCACAGGUGCUGCAUGGCCGUCGCCAGCUCGUGUCGUGAGAUGUUGGGUUAAGUCCCGCAACGAGCGCAACCCCUGUGAUUAGUUGCCAGCACGUGAUGGUGGGGACUCUAAUCAGACUGCCCAGAUCAACUGGGAGGAAGGUGGGGACGACGUCAGGUCAGUAUGGCCCUUACGCCUUGGGCUGCACACGUACUACAAUGCCCAGCACAAUGAGAACCGAGACCGCGAGGUGGAGGAAAUCUACAAAACUGGGCCCAGUUCGGAUUGGAGGCUGCAACUCGCCUCCAUGAAGCCGGAAUCGCUAGUAAUGCUGCAUCAGCUACGGCACCGUGAAUACGUUCCCGGGUCUUGUACACACCG